GGUAUCAUUUGGGUGCACAUACGUGCUCCUACGCGUUAGGUGCGGAUGUAGUUCCCUGGUUGGCGCAAGUUUACAAUUCUCACUCGACUGGUCCAUGGUGUCGGCGGUGUUCCGGCGUGUUGUGUGGUCUUUUUGUUUCUCCGAUCUUGUCGCGUGCAGGUGCAACUACUGGUGGGAGUACAACACUUGACUGUAAAAGGCAUUCACAACGGAACUCGGAGAAGGAGUUGUUAUACUAAUGGCACUGUGCAGAAAGGUAAUGGCACUGAAGAUUAUAUAAUUGGACAUUUUUGGGUUUGUUUUCGCUUUCUACAUGCAUAUCGUCCAGAACAAUAAAGUAUCACAUUAUUAUUUUAAA